rnacentral:rRNA from 1 species
CUCCUGGAAACGGGUGGUAAUGCCGGAUGCUCCGCCCCCUCGCAUGGGGGGUCGGGAAGGCUUUUGCGGAAUGGGAUGGGGUCGCGUCCUAUCAGCUUGUUGGCAGGGCGACGGCCCACCAAGGCUUCGACGGGUAGCCGGCCUGAGAGGGCGACCGGCCACAUUGGGACUGAGAUACGGCCCAGACUCCUACGGGAGGCAGCAGUGGGGAAUAUUGCACAAUGGGGGGAACCCUGAUGCAGCGACGCCGCGUGCGGGAUGGAGGCCUUCGGGUCGUGAACCGCUUUUGAUUGGGAGCAAGCGUGAGUGAGUGUACCUUUCGAAUAAGCACCGGCUAACUACGUGCCAGCAGCCGCGGUAAUACGUAGGGUGCAAGCGUUGUCCGGAAUCAUUGGGCGUAAAGGGCUCGUAGGCGGUUCGUCGCGUCCGGUGUGAAAGCCCAUCGCUUAACGGUGGGUCUGCGCCGGGUACGGGCGGGCUUGAGUGCGGCAGGGGAGGCUGGAAUUCCCGGUGUAACGGUGGAAUGUGUAGAUAUCGGGAAGAACACC